CCGAUGCUAAAGUGGACCUGAACCUUUGGACCUGAUGUGAACUAGAAUGAAGCUGGCUGGACCUCAAGUACUCUGUGGAAGCUUCAAGGACCAACAACACAUCUCGGUAUGACAAGUUGAGACUCGACCGUACAGACCCGUCCGGUCUCGCAUACGACGCCGUUAACGGCAAACGGAGAAACGACGCCGCUGACCCGCGGGAGGUACUUUCUCCAUCACUGCCAAAAGUGGACCUGAAAUUUUGGACCUGAUGUGAACUAGAAUGAAGUUGGCUGGAUAUAAAGUUAACUGGACCUGCAGCGAAGUGGACCUGAAGCUAACUGGACCUCAAGUAGUCUGUGGUAUUGUAUUUAAUAUUGUUGUGGUACUUUGAAUGUUAGGAAAGUUGUACAGGCAUUCCCCAGUUUGUAAGAGUACUGUGUCUUAUAAAAACCUAUGGUAAAUCGAAUCAAUAUUCCUAUAGACUCACAUUAUAAAAGCCAAGAGACUUUUCUUCAAUGAAAAAAGUUUCCCCCCAAUUAUGUAGUCUCCAAAAAGUAUCGAUAGAUUUUCUAGCGGUAAAAUUUGAAACGCUGGGUGAAAGACUUUGAUGUGAUCUCCAGUGCAUCAGCAUAAAUUGGUACAGGUACAUCCGGUCACUAUAUGAGCAACAGCCAUAGACGGCGGGUAGCGAGAGAGGGAGUCAUCCUCGCGUGACAUACAACCGUACAGUAUAUGCUUUACUAUAACAAGAAAUCCAUUAAGCUAUAUUAAUGUAUGUAUCGUGCUGGGUAGAAGCAAGGCAUAUGUAAAGAAGCCCCUGACUGAGGAUUACAAUAACAUGGAAAUAUACUUUAAAUGGAAGAGUUUCGGAUCACAACCGAGACGGACCUCGAGGCGAACAUUUCACCGUGUCGUAGUGACGGUUUCAUUCGUACCGAGUUGCAGAAUAUAGUCGUCGACGACACGUAUGAUUUAUGAGAGGUGAUCAAGGAAAUAGUAGUUGAUAUUAGAGUGAACAGCUACAGCGAUAUACAGUAUAUCGGUCUAAUUGGGAUCUGCCAAAUAUUAUUGAUUCGUAAAUAG